rnacentral:rRNA from 1 species
CGGUUUUGAUAGAAAUGUCAAAGCAGUAACGGACGGGUGAGUAAUGUGUAAGAAUCUACGCUUAGGAGAGGGAUAACAGUUGGAAACGUCUGCUAAUACCUCAUAAUGCUGUAAAGUUAAAGAGAAUUCGCCUAAGCACGAGCUUGCAUCUGAUUAGCUUGUUGGUAAGGUAAUAGCUUACCAAGGCAAUGAUCAGUAGCUGAUUUGAGAAGAUGAUCAGCCACACUGGGAUUGAGAACGGAACAGACUUCUACGGAAGGCAGCAGUGAGGAAUUUUCCGCAAUGGGUGAAAGCCUGACGGAGCAAUGCCGCGUGAAGGAAGAAAGCCUUCGGGUUGUAAACUUCUUUUCUCAUAGAAGAAAAAAUGACGGUAUAUGAGGAAUAAGCAUCGGCUAAUUCCGUGCCAGCAGCCGCGGUAAUACGGGAGAUGCAAGCGUUAUCCGGAAUUAUUGGGCGUAAAGAGUUUGUAGGUGGUCUAGUGUGUUUAAUGUCAAAUCUUAGAGCUUAACUUUAAAAUCACAUUGAAAACUAUUAGACUUGAGUAUGGUAGAGGUAAAGGGAAUUUCCAGUGUAGCGGUGAAAUGCGUAGAGAUUGGAAAGAACACCAAAGGCGAAGGCACUUUGCUAGGCCAAUACUGACACUGAGAAACGAAAGCUAAGGGAGCAAACAGGAUUAGAUACCCUGGUAGUCUUAGCCGUAAACUAUGGAUACUAGGUGGUGCCAUAUAAGCGCUGCCGUAGUUAACACGUUAAGUAUCCCGCCUGGGGAGUACGCUUGCAAAAGUGAAACUCAAAGGAAUUGACGGGGGCCCGCACAAGCGGUGGAGCAUGUGGUUUAAUUCGAUGCAACACGAAGAACCUUACCAGGAUUUGACAUGCUAGGAAAUUAUCUGAAAGGAUUUUGUACUCUAUUUUGAGAACCUAGACACAGGUGGUGCAUGGCUGUCGUCAGCUCGUGUCGUGAGAUGUUGGGUUAAGUCCCGCAACGAGCGCAACCCUCGUUUUUAGUUAAAAACAUAUAUUAAAGAGACUGCCGGUUAUAAACCGGAGGAAGGUGAGGACGACGUCAAGUCAUCAUGCCCCUUAUAUCCUGGGCUACACACGUGCUACAAUGGUUAAGACAACGAGCAGCAAUUUUGCGAAAAGGAGCCAAUCUUUAAACUUAAUCUUAGUUCGGAUUGUAGGCUGCAACUCGCCUACAUGAAGUUGGAAUCGCUAGUAAUCGCCGGUCAGCUAUACGGCGGUGAAUACGUUCUCGGGCCUUGUACACACCGCCCGUCACACCAUGGGAGUCGGCUGUGCCUGAAGUUGUUAUUUUAACCGUAAGGAGGAAUAUAUCUAAGGCCUGGCCGGUGACUGGGGUGAAGUCGUAACAAGGUAGCCGUACUGGA